GAUGAACGCUGGCGGCGUGCCUAAUACAUGCAAGUCGAGCGAACAGACGAGGAGCUUGCUCCUCUGACGUUAGCGGCGGACGGGUGAGUAACACGUGGAUAACCUACCUAUAAGACUGGGAUAACUUCGGGAAACCGGAGCUAAUACCGGAUAAUAUAUUGAACCGCAUUGUUCAAUAGUGAAAGACGGUUUUGCUGUCACUUAUAGAUGGAUCCGCGCCGCAUUAGCUAGUUGGUAAGGUAACGGCUUACCAAGGCAACGAUGCGUAGCCGACCUGAGAGGGUGAUCGGCCACACUGGAACUGAGACACGGUCAAGACUCCUACGGGAGGCAGCAGUAGGGAAUCUUCCGCAAUGGGCGAAAGCUUGACGGAGCAACGCCGCGUGAGUGAUGAAGGUCUUCGGAUCGUAAAACUCUGUUAUUAGGGAAGAACAAAUGUGUAAGUAACUAUGCACGUCUUGACGGUACCUAAUCAGAAAGCCACGGCUAACUACGUG
rnacentral:rRNA from 1 species